rnacentral:rRNA from 1 species
CAGUCGCCGCGGUAAUACGUAGGGCGCAAGCGUUGUCCGGAAUUAUUGGGCGUAAAGAGCUCGUAGGCGGUCUGUCGCGUCUGGUGUGAAAUCCCGAGGCUCAACCUCGGGCUUGCAUCGGGUACGGGCAGACUAGAGUGCGGUAGGGGAGACUGGAAUUCCUGGUGUAGCGGUGGAAUGCGCAGAUAUCAGGAGGAACACCGAUGGCGAAGGCAGGUCUCUGGGCCGCAACUGACGCUGAGGAGUGAAAGCAUGGGGAGCGAACAGGAUUAGAUACCCCCGUAGUCCCUGUCUCUUAUAC